rnacentral:rRNA from 1 species
UACGGAGGGGGCUAGCGUUGUUCGGAAUUACUGGGCGUAAAGCGCACGUAGGCGGCUUUGUAAGUUAGAGGUGAAAGCCCGGGGCUCAACUCCGGAAUUGCCUUUAAGACUGCAUCGCUAGAAUUGUGGAGAGGUAAGUGGAAUUCCGAGUGUAGAGGUGAAAUUCGUAGAUAUUCGGAAGAACACCAGUGGCGAAGGCGACUUACUGGACACAUGUUGACGCUGAGGUGCGAAAGCGUGGGGAGCAAACAGG